rnacentral:tRNA from 1 species
GCGCCGGUGGUGGAAUGGCGUAGAGCAUUCCCGCCCGGUUAGAGGGAGGUGCGGGUUCGAGUCCCGCCUGGCGCU